UACGUAGGGGGCAAGCGUUGUCCGGAAUUAUUGGGCGUAAAGCGCGCGCAGGCGGUCAUUUAAGUCUGGUGUUUAAGCCCGGGGCUCAACCCCGGUACGCACUGGAAACUGGGUGACUGGAGUGCAGGAGAGGGGAGUGGAAUUCCACGUGUAGCGGUGAAAUGCGUAGAUAUGUUGAGGAACACCAGUGGCGAAGGCGACUCUCUGGCCUGUAACUGACGCUGAGGCGCGAAAGCGUGGUGAGCAAACAGG
rnacentral:rRNA from 1 species